GGAAGAGGGUGCCAUUUGGGACACAAUCUCAACUCCCACAACAACAAACUGGUCCCUGAGGUAAAAGAGAGAUGAGGGAAGCCAUCAAGACCAUUGGGAGGGAUAGAAGACAUUACUGUAAUUCCAGGACACAUUCUGAAACUCAAAGGUUGGAGACUUGUGCUAAAAGAACAUAGCAAAUUAAUCUAAAAAGGCUCCGACGAGAGGGAGAGGAGGCCUGAGAAGUCUGUCAAGCAACUGUGAAUGUUAGAACUUUUAAAGGAGUGUGGGAAGAAGGAGAAAAGGGAAGGAGUCAGAGAACUGGCAGUGUGGUGCCAAAACAACAACCUCUCCCUCAAUGUGAGCAAGACAAAGGAGCUGAUCAUGGACUACAGGAAAAGGAGACAAUAUUUGGCAUGGGCCCCCAGAUCCUCAAAAGGUUCUACAGCUGCACCAUCGAGAGCAUCCUGACCGGUUGCAUCACAGCCUGGUAUGGCAACUGCUCGGCAUCUGACCGUAAGGCGCUACAGGGGGUAGUGCGAACGGCCCAGUACAUCAAUGGGGCCAAGCUUCCAGCUAACCAGGACCUAAAUAAUAGGCGGUGUCAGAGGAAAGCCCAUAAAAUUGUCAGAGACGGCACCCAAGUUAUAGACUCUUUUCUCUGCUACCGCACGGCAAGCGGUACCAGAGCACCAAGUCUAGGACCAAAAGGCCCCUCAACAGCUUCUACCCCCAAGCCAUUAGACUGCUGAACAAUUCAUAAAAAUCGCCACCAGACAAUUUACAUUGACCCCCCUUGUAAACUGCUGCUACUCGCUGUUUUUUUGUUAUGUCACUUCGCCCCCACCUACAUGUAAUGAUUGCCUCAACUAGCCUAUACCCCUGCACACUGACUCGGUACCGGUGCCCCCUGUAUAUAGCCUCGUUAUUGUUAUUCUUGUGUUACUUUUAAUUGUUACUUUUUAUUUUAGCCUACUUGGUAAAUAUUUUCUUUUUUUUAACUGCAUUGUUGGUUUAGGGCUUGUAAGUAAACAUUUAACGGUAAAGUCUACACUUGUUGUAUUCCGCACAUGUGGCAAAUAAAGUUUGAUUUGAUA
ensembl:lncRNA